rnacentral:piRNA from 1 species
UGAGGACCAUAGGAUGUGAGAAGGCUCAU